AACGAACGCUGGCGGCAUGCCUAACACAUGCAAGUCGAACGAGACCUUCGGGUCUAGUGGCGCACGGGUGCGUAACGCGUUGGAACCUGCCCUUAGGUUCGGAUUAACUCCCCGAAAGGGGUGCUAAUACCGGAUAAUGUCUUCGGACCAAAGGUUUAUCGCCUUUGGAUGGGCCCGCGUUGGAUUAGCUAGUUGGUAGGGUAAAAGCCUACCAAGGCGACGAUACAUAGCUGGUUUGAGAGGAUGAUCAGCCACACUGGGACUGAGACACGGCCCAGACUACUACGGGAGGCAGCAGUGGGGAAUAUUGGACAAUGGGCGAAAGCCUGAUCCAGCAAUGACGGGUGAGUGAUGAAGGCCUUAGGGUUGUAAAGCUAUUUUACCCGGGAUGAUAAUGACAGUACCGGGAGAAUAAGCUCCGGCUAACUCCGUG
rnacentral:rRNA from 1 species